rnacentral:lncRNA from 1 species
GCACUGCAAGCCAUAGAUGGCAGCCCUCAACGCAUUGAAGGCAUCCGGGGAAGGCGCAUGCUGAUGUGCAAGUAGUGGCGCCAUGGUUGCUGUGGUGGUGGUGAACACUGGUGGCGCGGCGAGUGAACCAGGACUAGCCAUGGCUGCGAUGGUGAGGAACAUGGCCGGCGCAGCAAGAGGUGGCGGGGGGCGAAUCAAGGCCUGAGAUCUAAUACCAGAUGUUAUGUGGCUGCUAGGGUUGAGGGAGAUUAAUUAGGGUUGAGGGAGCGGAGGCUGAAGGCAUGAACAGUACCCGCGGCUACUGUAGCGUGGGUACUGUUCACAGAGAGGUGGCUGUGAGAGCGAGAGAGGAGGCUAGGGUUUUG